rnacentral:lncRNA from 1 species
GCCUAACUCACCUGAGAACCCUCUCUCUCGCUGCUCAUGUCUCCUUAUAAUCAAGUCCAGGCAUUUCUCCCCGCUGUCCGCCUCCUGAAGCUCUUCCCUCUUCUCCAUCUCACACGUCUCCAUCACCCCUCCUCGGGACUAUUCCAGGUGCCCAGGCCAAAGCCUACCAGGGGGCCAGAGAGAAGUGGAGGACUGGAAGUUCUGGCAAGUUCUACCUGGAAGCAGGGGCCAAGAAGCACCUACCCAUGGGGGCCAGUGUCUGGCAGGUCCUUGGAGGCUGCUGUGUUCUCACGCCUCACCACCAGGCCCCAAGACUGCUGUAGAUUCGCACUGUUGGAGUUCACCUUCGGUUUUCCACUUCUCUCAACUUGUGAAGCCGGGACAGAAUAUCACCUUUCAGGAGGCGUGCUGCCUCAUUUGGAGCUGUUAAGAUACGAGAAGCAAAAGCUUAAUUGAUGGAGAGUGACAAGAACUCAGUCCCAUGCCACCCCUAAAAUGAAAAGGCACACGAGGCUGGAAAAUGCAGCCUAACUGCGCGUCCAAGGGGAAGAGGAUCCAGGUGUGGUUAGUAGCUGUCCAAUAUCUUCCCAGCACGUAUAAAGAAUAUACAGAAGCUCGAAUGACUGUUGAGGGAAUAGAAGAUGGAACUUGAGAGGUGGGAAGAUCAGCCCUGAGCUAACAUCUGCUGCCAAUCCUCCUCUUUUUGCUGACGAAGACUGGUCCUGAGCUAACAUCCAUGCCCAUCUUCCUCUACUUUAUAUGUGGGAUACCUACCACAGCAUGGUGUGCCAAGUGGUGCCAUGUCUGCACCUGGGAUCCGAACUAGGGAACCCUGGGCCGCGGAAGUGGAACGUGCGCACUUAACUGCUGUGCCACUAGGCCAGCCCUCUUUUUAUCUUUUUUGUGUGGUCUGAUUUGAUAUUUAAAAAAUCAAUUAUUAAAUUUAUCAGUCUUUUGUUUGAUGGUUUCUGCCUUAGUGUCAUAUUUGGGAGAACCUUCUCUCGGACUUGAUUAUUCACUUAGAUUUUCAUUUAAAACUUGCUUUGUUUUUUACAUUAAAAAACUAGGAUGGCAUAUCUACUGUUUUCCCCUUCCAUGCUCGUGGCAGAGAUUGCUAAUUGAUUAUGUCACUCAUUCUUAGUGAGCUGCCAAGUCAGCCGCAAAUUCUUUUCAACAUCAUCUUUUGGGCCUCCACUACCAAACAAUAAAGUUCUGUGUAGCAUAGAAAUCAUUUGGCAUCCUUGAUUUAUAGUAUUUUUCAAAAAUCUAUUCCUACAAGCCACCUUAAAUAAUUUCUUGGACAAGAUGGAGCAUAAAUAAAUAAAUAGAGAUAGACUGGU